ACCCGCAGCGGAAAGCUCAGUAACACGUGGCCAAACUACCCUGUGGAUGGGAACAAUCUCGGGAAACUGAGGCUAAUUCCCAAUAACGCUCCACCCCUGGAACGGGCGGAGCUGGAAACGCUACGGCGCCACAGGAUGUGGCUGCGGUCGAUUAGGUAGACGGUGGGGUAACGGCCCACCGUGCCAAUAAUCGGUACGGGUUGUGAGAGCAAGAGCCCGGAGACGGAAUCUGAGACAAGAUUCCGGGCCCUACGGGGCGCAGCAGGCGCGAAACCUUUACACUGUACGCAAGUGCGAUAAGGGGACUCCGAGUGUGAAGGCAUAGAGCCUUCACUUUUGUACACCGUAAGGUGGUGUACGAAUAAGGGCUGGGCAAGACCGGUGCCAGCCGCCGCGGUAAUACCGGCAGCCCGAGUGAUGGCCGAUAUUAUUGGGCCUAAAGCGUCCGUAGCUGGCCGGACAAGUCCGUUGGGAAAUCUGUUCGCUUAACGAGCAGGCGUCCAGCGGAAACUGUUCGGCUUGGGACCGGAAGACCUGAGGGGUACGUCCGGGGUAGGAGUGAAAUCCUGUAAUCCUGGACGGACCACCGGUGGCGAAAGCGCCUCAGGAGGACGGAUCCGACAGUGAGGGACGAAAGCUAGGGUCUCGAACCGGAUUAGAUACCCGGGUAGUCCUAGCUGUAAACGAUGCCCGCUAGUGGUGGCGCAGGCUACGAGCCUGCGCUGUGCCGUAGGGAAGCCGAGAAGCGGGCCGCCUGGGAAGUACGUCUGCAAGGAUGAAACUUAAAGGAAUUGGCGGGGGAGCACUACAACCGGAGGAGCCUGCGGUUUAUUGGACUCAACGCCGGACAUCUCACCAGCUCC
rnacentral:rRNA from 1 species